rnacentral:rRNA from 1 species
UACGGAGGAUGCAAGCGUUAUCCGGAAUGAUUGGGCGUAAAGCGUCCGCAGGUGGCAAUGUAAGUCUGCUGUUAAAGAGUCUAGCUCAACUAGAUAAAAGCAGUGGAAACUACAUAGCUAGAGUACGUUCGGGGCAGAGGGAAUUCCUGGUGUAGCGGUGAAAUGCGUAGAGAUCAGGAAGAACACCGGUGGCGAAGGCGCUCUGCUAGGCCGUAACUGACACUGAGGGACGAUAGCUAGGGGAGCGAAUGGG